UGUCAACCCCUGCAUCUCGUGUCUUGUUGU
rnacentral:piRNA from 1 species